UGUCCUGGGUGUGUCUCCUCACAACUUCCCAGUCACCCUCAGCUUCCUCACCAGCCUCACAAAAAGCAGAAAAGGCCUUGGCUCUGUAGAAAGAAGUCUCCUUAUAUCCAAAAGGAAUAACCACAUCCAAGAGCCUUCAGCAUAAUUGCAAACUUCAAGCAAUCCACAGCAUCAAAAGCAUUGAGAGGCCAUUGGCCACUGCACCAGAAAUUUUGCCUUUGGCCAAGGGCAUACUCACAGGAAUGAGGAUAGAGCAACAUGGUUAGGAGACUGUCCUAAUUUCCACUUGUUUGUUUCCCCUGUAGGGAAAUGAGUGAAGGCAGGAAGCAGCACGGAGAGCAGCAGAGCACUGUGAGGCAGCACUCGCAUGAUGGACCCCAAAAUCAGCAUUCACAUGUGGGAGGGAACAGUCUCCACCCAUCCUCAUUGCUUCUACUCAUGUAUUUAACUCAGAGGAAAAGAACUAUGAAAUCUCCAUCAGCUGAAAAAAACACAGAUAAGACUGUUCAGCAGCAAAGUUCAAAUCACCAUCUGAAUAUUAUCUAAUUUCACACUGAAGGUAUGAACAUUUCAGGUUUAGCCGUGUCACAGAAUGAUAAAUGUCCUGAACUAGUUCACAGGAAGUUCCAAAGGAAACAAUACAUAUGCUCUGUACUGGAAUAGUUUAAAGUAAAGGACAAGGAAA